GAUGAACGCUGGCGGCGUGCCUAAUACAUGCAAGUCGAACGAAACUUCUUUAUCACCGAGUGCUUGCACUCACCGAUAAAGAGUUGAGUGGCGAACGGGUGAGUAACACGUGGGCAACCUGCCCAAAAGAGGGGGAUAACACUUGGAAACAGGUGCUAAUACCGCAUAACCAUAGUUACCGCAUGGUAACUAUGUAAAAGGUGGCUAUACUACCGCUUUUGGAUGGGCCCGCGGCGCAUUAGCUAGUUGGUAGGGUAAAGGCUUACCAAGGCAAUGAUGCGUAGCCGAAUUGAGAGGUUGAUCGGCCACAUUGGGACUGAGACACGGCCCAAACUCCUACGGGAGGCAGCAGUAGGGAAUCUUCCACAAUGGGCGAAAGCCUGAUGGAGCAACGCCGCGUGGGUGAAGAAGGUCUUCGGAUCGUAAAGCCCUGUUGUUAGGGAAGAAAGUGCGUGAGAGUAACUGUUCACGUUUCGACGGUAUCUAACCAGAAAGCCCCUGCUAACUACGUG
rnacentral:rRNA from 1 species